GCCAUAUUCAUUAUCUUUGUGCCGAAUGAAAAGAGAAAGAAAAUAAGAAAACCAAGCUAGGUAUUCGGCCCUUGCUCAAGCAAAUUAAGAGUUCUAAAGACUUGCUCGGGUUGGAAGACGUUGGAGUCGUGAUCACACUAUCCGGUUAUGGCUUCGGUAAAUUAAAGCUUUGAGUUUUUGGUUAUGUGGCAUGUAUAGGCUAGUUUUAAUUUAGUUUAUAUAUAUAUAUUUAGCCAUACGAAAAUGGCUUGAUCUAAUGCUGAUCCAAGGUUUAAGUAAUUUUGGUCAUAGUAAAGGCGUGGGGUAUGCUUGGUAUAUGAAUUUGAUAAGACGUAAUGAUAUAUAUAUAUAUAUAUAUGUGUGUGUGUGUGUGUGUGUGUGUGUGUGUGUGUCUUUGAUAAGUUAUUUGAUAAUUCGGUAUGUAAAGGACUAAUGAUUUUAAUGCUUGAAUUACAAAAUUUGUUAUAUGUAUACAUAGUGGUAUGAUCGAUAAUGGUAAUUGACUUAUUAUUGUAAGUAUGAAA